rnacentral:rRNA from 1 species
UGGGGAAUAUUGGACAAUGGGGGCAACCCUGAUCCAGCAAUGCCGCGUGUGUGAAGAAGGUCUUCGGAUUGUAAAGCACUUUCGACGGGGACGAUGAUGACGGUACCCGUAGAAGAAGCCCCGGCUAACUUCGUGCCAGCAGCCGCGGUAAUACGAAGGGGGCUAGCGUUGCUCGGAAUGACUGGGCGUAAAGGGCGUGUAGGCGGUUUACACAGUCAGAUGUGAAAUCCCCGGCUUAACCUGGGAGCUGCAUUUGAUACGUGUAGACUAGAGUGUGAGAGAGGGUUGUGGAAUUCCCAGUGUAGAGGCGAAAUUCGUAGAUAUUGGGAAGAACACCGGUGGCGAAGGCGGCAACCUGGCUCAUGACUGACGCUGAGGCGCGAAAGCGUGGGGAGCAAACAGGAUUAGAUACCCUGGUAGUCCACGCUGUAAACGAUGUGUGCUAGAUGUUGGGUAACUUUGUUAUUCAGUGUCGCAGUUAACGCGCUAAGCACACCGCCUGGGGAGUACGGCC